rnacentral:rRNA from 1 species
AACCUGGUUGAUCCUGCCAGUAGUCAUAUGCUUGUCUCAAAGACUAAGCCAUGCAUGUCUAAGUAUAAACGCUUCUAUACUGUGAAACUGCGAAUGGCUCAUUAAAUCAGUUAUAGUUUAUUUGAUGGUUUCUUACUACUUGGAUAACCGUGGUAAUUCUAGAGCUAAUACAUGCACAAAGUCCCGACUCUUCGGAAGGGAUGUAUUUAUUAGAUCCAAAACCAAUGCGAGUCUCUCGGGGCUCGGUUUCUUGGUGAUUCAUGAUAACUGCUCGAACCGUAUGGCCCUUGCGCCGACGGUGCUUCAUUCAAAUUUCUGCCCUAUCAACUUUCGAUGGUACGGUAGUGGCCUACCAUGGUUGCAACGGGUGACGGAGAAUUAGGGUUCGAUUCCGGAGAGGGAGCCUGAGAAACGGCUACCACAUCCAAGGAAGGCAGCAGGCGCGCAAAUUACCCAAUCCCGACUCGGGGAGGUAGUGACAAUAAAUAACAAUGCCGGGCUAUUGUAGUCUGGCAAUUGGAAUGAGUACAAUCUAAAUCCCUUAACGAGGAACAAUUGGAGGGCAAGUCUGGUGCCAGCAGCCGCGGUAAUUCCAGCUCCAAUAGCGUAUAUUAAAGUUGUUGCAGUUAAAAAGCUCGUAGUUGGAUUUCGGGGUGGCCUGCCUGGUCCACCGCAAGGUGAGUACUGGUCAGCCGCCCUUCCUCUCGAAAGCCCCGACUGCUCUUCACUGCAGUGGUCGGGUAGUUCGGGACGUUUACUUUGAAAAAAUUAGAGUGUUCAAUGCAGGCUAUCGCCUGAAUACAUUAGCAUGGAAUAAUGGAAAGAGGACCUCGGUCCUAUUUUGUUGGUUUCUAGGGCCGAAGUAAUGAUUAAGAGGGACAGUUUGGGGGCAUUCGUAUUUAAUUGUCAGAGGUGAAAUUCUUGG